rnacentral:lncRNA from 1 species
CUAUUCGGCCCCCGAAGUCUACCUCUCCGUACUCCCGAAAAAUGCUUGCCUCCAAUUGCCCUUGGAUUUUUAGGACAACCCACAAGCUACACCGUACCCUCUUCAAACCCCGGAUUGUAGCUUUCCGUACUCUUGAAGAUAUGCUUGCCUCCAACCAACCUUGGAAUUUUUAGGUGGUUUCACAAGCUGCAACCUCAAACUCUCCUUGUGUCCAACUACCUCCCGCAGUCUGACAAGUUACCAAGCUUGAUCACCGUUGCUUCCACACAAGGUCUCCAUAGCCAUACCACUUUGGUGUACCUCCACCUCAAACCGAGAUUCCUCCACCAAAACCUUAAACCGGUAUAUCCACUAUGUCCUCCACCUUGUAACCGAGUAUUAUU